ACUCUCCCAGCUCUGCAUGGUUACACUAGGCCUCACUUGUGUAACUUUCGUAAUGUGGAGAGAAAGAAAAGAUCUCCUUGGGACCUCAGAUUAGCCUCACCGUGGCUUCUCUUUCCUUGAGGGGCGCAACAGAU
ensembl:snoRNA